GAUGAACGCCGGCGGCGUGCCUAAUACAUGCAAGUCGAGCGAAUGGAUUAAGAGCUUGCUCUUAUGAAGUUAGCGGCGGACGGGUGAGUAACACGUGGGUAACCUGCCCAUAAGACUGGGAUAACUCCGGGAAACCGGGGCUAAUACAGGCUAACAUUUUGAACCGCAUGGUUCGAAAUUGAAAGGCGGCUUCGGCUGUCACUUAUGGAUGGACCCGCGUCGCAUUAGCUAGUUGGUGAGGUAACGGCUCGACAAGGCAACGAUGCGUAGCCGACCUGAGAGGGUGAUCGGCCACACUGGGACUGAGAAACGGCCCAGACUCCUACGGGAGGCAGCAGUAGGGAAUCUUCCGCAAUGGACGAAAGUCUGACGGAGCAACGCCGCGUGAGUGAUGAAGGCUUUCGGGUCGUAAAACUCUGUUGUUAGGGAAGAACAAGUGCUAGUUGAAUAAGCUGGCACCUUGACGGUACCUAACCAGAAAGCCACGGCUAACUACGUGCCAGCAGCCGCCGUAA
rnacentral:rRNA from 1 species